UUUCAGAACCAAAUAAAUUGAAAAUUCCGAGGGGUUCUAGUGGAUCAAACAAUGAAGGAUUUGAAGCCGCGUCGAGGGCGCAGGAAACGAGAUCCAUCUUGCAAUCUUUUUGAAAAAAUGGAAACGGAACACUGCGGCCCGUUGUCAAGUCACCUGCCAGCUCAGCCACAUCGGCUCCCGCCAUGGACCGAGCACUCCGGUUGCUCCGACUGUCGUCUCAACUCAUUCUAUUGUCGCCACUGCUGCCGCUGUUGCUCUGCUGCUUGCUGCUGUUGAUACGGCACGAAAUGUGUAUAGAAAAUUCAGCCAUCCACUUCUGUCAGCUGGCGCGGCCGAGGAUGGGGAUGCAAUCGUUGGCUUGGGAGUGUGUGUGUGUGUGGGGAGGGGGGGCACUACUCACUUUUGUAAGAUACGCACGUUUCUACAAUUAAUAAAUUAAAAAAUGUAAUUGAAAACUUAAAAUUAGAUAUUACUUAUUUCUACCCUAAUCUAUUUGUUUUUAGCCACCAUUCUCGGUCUUGUCCGUUUCGUAUUGUCUUUUUAUAAUCCCGAUUUCGCAGAUAUCAGAUAAUACGUUACAGUAUAAUUUGAGACUUUGGAAUUGUAAUUUUUUUGUUCAUACACUUUCUGGUAUGUUAAAAUGGUAAAACAAUAUGCAUUGAGAAAAAAUUUAAUUGCACCAGAAAAAUAUUUCGUUUAAUGGUACCAAAGAGAUAUUUUGUUAACUCAAUGAAUCAUUUAGCUAAAAAAAUCGAAUAUAUUGCAUGCAACGUUUUCUUGGAAAUAUGACAAUUUAUUUCAGUUUAUUUCA
rnacentral:lncRNA from 1 species